GACAGAGGUGCCGAGCGUUAGGCGGAAUCACUGGGCUUAAAGCGUGUGUAGGCGGAUGGGUAAGUACCUUGUGAAAUCCCACGGCUCAACCGUGGAACUGCUCGGUAUACUGCUCGUCUUGAGCCAACUAGGGGCGACCGGAACAAAUGGUGGAGCGGUGAAAUGCGUAGAUAUCAUUUGGAACGCCAAUGGUGAAAACAGGUAGCUGGGGCUGUGCUGACGCUGAGACACGAAAGCCAGGGGAGCAAACGGG
rnacentral:rRNA from 1 species